CUCUCCUUGGUAAUAGGUGCCCAGGUGGAGCUGCUGCCUGUAUAGACCUGUGCCUUGAGACAGAAGCCAGCCUCUUCGGGGAGCACUCCAAUGGCUCCCCAGAUCUGACACAUCAAGAUUAAGACCUGAGGAUUUGGAGCUGAGAGACAAGAAAGGGUUUCAUUUGCUAGGUCUGGGUGCCUAGAAGAUGACACAGAUCAAAGAAGGUCCCAGGCUACCAGGAGAAGCAAGAUAAUCAUCACCCAAGUAACAUAACUGGAGAAGAACCAGCCUAAAUCACCAGGGUAUGAAGUGGUACCCUGAAGACGGUUAAGCGUUCAAUUCAUGGUUAGCCAACUCUGUUGCUCUGGGUCUGAGAUGAUGCAAAACAUCAUGGUGGAAGGAAUUAGUGGAGGAAAGCUGUUCAACUCAGGGCAGCCAGGAAGCAAAAAGGGAGCAAGCUUCCAGGGACAGAAUAUAAACCCCAAAGGUAUGGCCCAGUAACCUAUCUGCCACACUUCAUCUGCUAAAAAUUAUCAUCCAGUGCAGUGGUCUUUUCAAAUUAUUCAUACAUCAAAUGGAUUAAUCCACCCAUUAGACCAUAGACCUCAUAAUCCAAUCACGAGCUUUUGGGGAAACCUUCCAUGUAAAACAUAAGGCAUUCAUGGAUUCUAACGGUUUCACUAGGAGCAUGGAAAAUAUGAAAAACUCACUUUAGAAUUCUCCAUUCAAAUAUAAUUUAAGAUUUUGAAAACCCAUGUCUACAGAUGAGUCCUGUUCUCUGCUAAGUUAUUCUGUGAAUAGCUAGACUUGUUUUGCAAACUGUGUGCUUCUACUUGCUUAUCUCAUGUCCUAUCAAAAGGGAGCUUGUGGGAACUGUUAGUGUUCAUGUUUUGCCUUUUCAGACUUUGAUCUGGUGGAGGAAUUCUUCUGGUGGUGAACACCACAAAAGAAAGCACCUGUCUUUCUUAAGAGGUAGAGAGCAGGCCUUCAGGCUUGCAAGGGCAGCUCAUUGUAGAAGGCAGCAGCCUUAACUGGAGUGAGGAUGGAAGACACUGGAGGGGAAGAAAACAGCUCUGGAGGAGAAACAGACUUACUUUCCUUACCCAAGUGGAGGAGGUGUGUGAGGAAAAGAUGCAGGGGUGGAUGGCAGGGUCCAGGCAAGAACCGAAGCCCAGAGGUAAAGCUAUUGCAGAGGCUGUUGGUGACACUGGUGCUUUGACGGGCUGAGCAAGUCCCUGGCCCUCUGUGAGCUGGGGCAAAGCUUACAUGUGACUGUUUUCACAGCACAAUGCCCAGUAAGUUUUGCUCAGUGGGGUUUUCUGUUCAGAAACCUCCUUUCAAAUUGCUGUUAGCUCCUGGGCUGACCAGGUGCCAGUGGUGUGGUGGAGGAGGCCCCACCUGGAACUCUGGUGUGGAAGGAGGAGACUGUGUUUUCAGUUUCUGGGACUUGAUGGUUUUCUGAGAACAUGGUGUCAUCAAAUCCUCUUUAGAGGUUUUCACACGACCUUUCUGAGGGCAUGAUUUGAACUAAACACAAGACUCAAACUAAUUGGACUGUUUUAAAGUGAUUGGUCUGCAGUAUCUCUGAGGUUUAUCUGGCGGUUAUGUUGUUCGUGCAACAUGGCUGGUGAGCAACUGCUUCAAGUCCUGAGAGAUGGGAGAGAGACUGCGCCUUUCCAGAGGCUGCAGGAUGAGUUCAGACCACCCAGACACUGGAGCACACAGAGAAUAAAAAUAUUUAGGGCAGAUUUUGACAUGGUAAACCAUGUUCAAGCAUCACAAUCUUGCUUAUGUUUAUACUGCCCAAAGACUUCGAUUCUAUUCCAUUUCCCCCCAUUUCCUAAAUGCAUCAUUAAAAUGACAAAAUUUGGCUUCACUUGAAACCAAGACUAGACCUUUAGAAUCUCUGAGUUUGAAGCAAACUUGAAUAAAGCAGUUUUAACUUCCACUUAAUAUAAACAUCAUGUUUUGCUCCUGUUCAAGCCAAAUAUUCCCUCCUUUUUAAAAAUCUGCAUGGACAAACUCUUACUAGCUCUAUCCAUAAAUAUUGAACACUUGAGUGUGUCAGAACACCAUGUCCUCUGGUACUUGUGCAUACAGGUUUACAAGCCUUAUGUCACACAAACUUAGGUUACAACAUUAUCUCCUUAAGGGACUGGAGUCUUUCCUUCCCUCUUUGUCUACCCCCCAAAUUACAUUAAUGAGGAUGAGGGACAAGUGGGGAGAGAAGCUAAGUCAGCGUGAUGCCCCAGGCCUUUGACAGCAAUUAUCACUCUUGUCCUGCUCCCUAAUAGAAAUAGAAAUAUCAGCUCCCCAAAGAUGCCUGCCUGCCUUUCAGGCAAGAGACUUUCUGGGUCCAGAGAAAUAGGGCAGGGGACAGUUAGAAUGGCCGUGGGUUCUUCCCCACUAGUUCUACAGUACUAGUUCUUCCUCACUAGUUCUACUGUACUAGUUCUACAGUAGAAAAGUUUCUUGAAGAAAAAGUGUCUGAACAUAGAAGUGCUUCCGGCUCAGAAAUUGCUUCCAUUUUCACUUUUCAGAUAGGAAUACAGCAGUAAAAAAGAAAAGUCAGUCAACAGAGGCUUUUGUCUUGUUCUUCUUGUCCUUGGCCCUUAAGUGAUGGUAAGACAAGUUCCCAUAUUAUUAAAAGGAAGCUGUAGAGGAUAUAUGUGAAUAUUUAGGUAAAACACUUUUAAAAUUUAUUUAUUUAUUUUAAUUAGGUGUAUAUGACAGUAGAAUGCAUUUUGAUUCAUUGUACACAAUUGCAGCACAACUUUUCAUUUCUCUGAUUGUACACAAAGUAGCGUCACAGCAUAUGUGCAGUCAUUACCUAGGGUAAUAAUGUCUAUCUCAUUCUACCAUCUUUCCUGCCCCCAUACUCCCUCCCCUUUCCUCCCUCACCUUUGCCCAAUCAGAGUUCCUUCAUUUUCCCCAUGCCCUUCCCCACCAUUAUGGAUGAUAAGCAUCCACUUAUCAGAGAGAACAUUGGCCUUUGGUUUUUGGGGAUUGGCUUACUUCACUUAGCAUGAUAUUCUCUAACCCCAUCCAUUUACCUGCAAAUGCCAUAAUUUUAUUCUCUUUUAAUGCUGAGUAAUAUUCCAUUGUGUACAUAUACUACAGUUUCUUUAUCCAUUUGUCUGUUGAAGGGCAUCUGUGAAUUGAGCUGCUGUGAUGUGGCUGCAUUACUAUGAUAUGCUGAUUUUAAGUCCUUUGGGUAUAUAUAGAUGAGUGGGAUAGCUGGGUCAAAUGGAAGUUCCAUUCCAAAUUUGCUGAGGAAUCUCCAUACUGCUUUCCAAACUGGUUGCACCAGUUUGCAGCCCCAGCAGCAAUGUAUGAGUGUGCCUUUUCCCCCAUAUCCUUGUCAGCACUUACUGUUAUUUGUAUUCUUGGUAGCUGCUGUUCUGACUGGUGUGAGAAAAAAUCUUAGAGUAGUUUUGAUUUGCAUUUCUCUGACUACUAGAGAUGUUGAAUAUCUUUUCAUACAUUUAUUGAUCAAUUGUAUAUCUUCUGAGAAGUGUCUGUUUAGCUCCUUAGCCCAUUUAUUGAUUGGGUUGUUGGUUUUUUUGGUGUUUUUUGAAUAUUUUAGAUUAGUGCUCUAUCUGAUGUGCGUAAGGCAAAAUUUUCUCCCAGAAUGUAGGCUCUCUCUUCACCUCAUUGAUUGUUUCUUUUGCUGAGAAGAAGCUUUUUUGUUUAAAUUCAUCCCAUUUAUUAAUUAUUGAUUUUAUUUCUUGUGAUUUAGGAGUCUUCUUAAGAAAGUUGGGGCUUAAUCUGGUGUGAUGAAGAUUUGGGCCUACUUUUUCCUCUAUUGGGCUCAUUCUGGUCUAAUACCUAGGUCCUUGAUCCACUUUGAGUUGAGUUUUGUGUAUGGUGAGAGAGAGGGGUUUAGUUUCAUUUUGAUACAUAAGGAUUUCCAGUUCUCUCAGCACCUUAGGUAAAAUUUUUAAAACCUAGAAAGAUAUUAUAAAAUACCAUUGAACACUUAAAAAAACUAAUAUAUUCUCAUGGAUAAAGAAUAUUGGUUUCCAUAGAUUGAAAAAAAAAUAUUUCCCUAAAUAAAGUGAAUUGUUUUUAUUUAAAAAUUUAGACGUAAGCCAAAAAAAAUUGCCAUCUAUGAGGGUCUGAAUUAAUUUAUAGCUCUUCUUUAUUCCCACUGCAUUUCUGCAGUAUCUCCAUCGAAGUCCUUAGCACACCUGUGCUAAUUACCCACUCAGGUCUGCCUCACGUAGGCAACCUGUACUUCUUGAUGGUUGGAGUCACAUCUUGUUAAUUCCACAAUCUCAGAAGCAGCUACUACAAUCCAACUAAUAUGCAGUACAUGCUUGUCAAAGUUUACUGAACUGCCAGGCCAGCCUCAGCAACUUAGUGAGGCCCUAAGAAACUUUGUGAGACCCCAUCUCCAAAUAAAAAAUAAAACAGGAGAGGAAUAUGGCUCAGUGGUUAAUUGCUCCUGGGUCCAAUCUCUACUACCCGUCCCCCCCCACAAAAAAAAAAAAAAGUUUACUAGACUGAAGCAAUAAUUUCCCUGCUAAUGCUGUGGCUCAUUAAAGGUCACAGCAAGGUCUGCUCUGGAGAGUGGACAAUUAUAUUUGCUAUUCCCAGGCCAGUUGGUAGUUGUUAUUAUAGAAGACACCCAUCAUUGACAUCUUCUAUAAUCUUGUGAGGAGAAAUUUAAGUUGAUUCUGAAAAGUAAACAUACAUAUUCCUUAAUGCAUACAUUUAUUUAUCUAUUUAAUAAACCCAGGGCUGGGGAUGUGACUCAAACGGUAGCACGCUCGCCUGGCAUGCGUGGGUUUGAUCCUCAGCACCACAUAAAAAUAAAAUAAAGAUGUUGUGUUCACCGAAAACUAAAAAAUAAAUAUUAAAAAAAUUCUCUCUCUCUCUUUAAAAAAAUAAAAUAAAAAUAAACCCAAAAUAAAU